GCGGCGGCGUCCUAACCGGUAUGCGCUUACUGGCGCGACUGUUCCCGGGCGCCCUCGCUUGCUAGGGGAGUGACACUCUUGUCGUGCGCCCCAGAGUGUACUGAUCUUUUGCUGACUGUAGGCCAAGGAACAUGUUGUUGGGUCCCACUCAGCGUGGAAGCUUGGCCUUGUUGGUGAUUGGAAAAACUACAUUGGAAAAAGGACACAGCGCAAAAAAAGACAAAGACACGAGAGAGCGACACGCACACAGCGCUACUCUACUACUCUACCCUACUCUUACUUCUCGUGUAAUUGUCAUUGAAGACGAUGUCCGUCCAAUAAAGAGAGUGGGUGUUGUGCGCCUUACAAGAGUGCGCUGACACUCAAUUAAACCUGA